AGAGUGGAACAGGAAGAGUGAGAGAAAGAGUGUGAGACAAGAAAGCAGGACAAAACAAGGGAGGAUGGAGCAGCUGCACUCGCCUGUGUGACAAUACAGACACGCCUUCUGUCUCUCGGAGCCGUCUCCUGAACAAGCUGGACGUGAACUCCGGAGCCGUUGUGGUGUCUCAGUUCUGCGCUGGACCUUUUUCCACACGUGCUAGCGUGGCUGGAUGUAUCCCCCACUGGAGCAGUACUCUGGCCGCUGUUCAUGGGACUUCCCGUCUGGCGGCUCCAGUAGAGCACCAUGGGUCCCCAGCACCAGUCGCCCUUGGCCUCCUCCACCCAGGGCCAGCAGGGGAGUAUACCAGGUCCAGCAUCCAGGCCUAAACCAUUCAUCAGGAAGAAAUCAUCACAAAGCUUAUAACAAUAGACCGCCGGAGUUCAGCAGGGAGCGAGCUCACGGUCACCCCAGAGAGAGAGGCCCCGACAGGGAUCGGGGAGCGCCGCGGCCCUGGGGCCCCCUGCCCGGACGCCACCAGAACCCAGACCAUGCUCUCACUGGGUUCAGCUCAGGGUGCAGAGGACACGUCUCCAGCAACCACACCAGCCAACCUCAGAGGUAUGGAGGCCCUCACCAGCAACAACGGCCCCUGCAGGUACACGGAGAGAGGUGGAGCCCGGCGGCACAGUCCCGGGCCUUCUCGAGCCCCUCCCUCAAACGCCCCGCGCCCCCACCCAGCCACUCUGGCCUGCUCCGAAACCCCUCGCCACCCAGAGACGACUGCCCUAACAAGAAGAGCAAAGGCGCCCUCAGCUCACACCAGAUUUUUAGCCCCCGGAUGAAGCACCCGAUGAACCGCCUCCCUCUGUCCCACCCGCCUCGAACCUGGAGCCCCCCGUACCGAAACACUGCCCCCUGGAGUCAGUCGGAUAAAAGGCAUUCCCCUUCACGUUUCCAGGAGUCCAGUCAGUCCAGCGCCAGAGACCACUCCCACAGGAGCCGGCCGUCCAGUCAGGCCUUCCACAGUGCCAAGCCCCUGCGACCAGGCCACACCCCCCCCGAGCUCCGUCCUUGUGGAAGCGAGGGUGACUGGGGGCACUGUGUUCCGCCAUCACCAGCAGACUUCACCAGAGUGCCUUACAACCUCAAGCACCAGCUCCGCACCGCCCCACCCAGGCACCCAGACGCCUCAGGCGACGCGCCCGCGCUCGCAGUACCUCAUCCCAGCCGCGGCUCACCCACGCCGGUCUGGAAGUCCCAGCCGCACCCGGCCGAGCAGAGCAGCGAGGCCAGGCGCUCCGGUCCGGCAGCAGAACGAAGGCCGCCGCCACAGGGGCUAAAAGAUGGAGGGAGUCGCCAUGGCCAUCCCAAACCCAGCCAACCCCACUUCAGCCAAAGCACCGGCGGCGCGUUGCACGGCGCCCCCGGCGGGCGAGAGCGUGGCAAGCGCCGGAGCCCGGACGCUGAGGCCUCGGCCCCGCGCCCGAGCACCGAGGUGGGCAGCGCCCCUCAAAGACUGGAGGGGAGGAAGAGCAGGACUCCCAAACACCAGAGUCCCGCACCGUCCCGCUACGGCCACGCGGGCGUCCCCGACCACGGCACCCAGGAGAGGCCAGCCUGCCGGCCGGACGCAGAGACCCCGAGGCACGGCCAGGACAGGAAGAGGGACCGGGAGCGAGAGAGGAGGCAGGAGAGGAAGGCGGAGGAAGGGCCGAGCGAGCGCCGGGAGAGGAGGGAGCGCAAACUGGAGGCGAAGAAGAAGCGAAAGGCGCGAGAAGAAGGGAGGUCGCGCCGGGAGAGGAAGACCGUGCGCCAAAAGAGAGAUGCGGGGCCCAGGCUCACCGAGAGGAAGGAAAAAGAAGGGAGGAGAAGACAGAAGAAAGCAGAGAACGAGGGCGCCAAAAAAGGUGAGAAGAAGAGUUUUAGAGAAGCGGCUCCCCAGACGUCCGGAUGUCGGAGUCAGGGCCGGAGUCCAGCCCGCCUUGUGUCUCUGACAUCAUCCGCCGCGUCGGAGACGUCAACCCACGAGUGCACUGAGCCUGAGGAAGAGGAGGAGGAGACCAACUGCCACUCUGACGCUUCACACACCUCAGGGUCCGCCCCACCCACCCCCACCCCUCUGACCAAUCGGAGCCGGACGCUCGCUUGUCAUCCUAAAGACGCAUCCAAUAGUAGGACCUCGGUGAGUGAAGACAGCAUGUCCUCCUCUCGUGGGAGUCCAAAUACCAGCAGCGUCGGUUAUCCAGAGGAGCGUUUUGGCCCCGGGGCUUCUAUCUCUGCUCCCCCUGCUGGCAGCGAGCAGGAGCUGCGAUCCCUAGAGGAGCGGCAUGCUCCGGACCUGCUCCCGGCACACAGCCCCUGCACGGAGGAGCACUUGCGCCCGGAUCCCGCGGGCAGCCCGCCCGUGCUCAGCUGGCAAGGUUCUCCCGUCUCGGACCUCAGCGAGGAAGAGGAGGAGAAGAAAGGCACUGAUGUAGACAGAGUGCUGAGGAGGCCUGUGCUUCAUCCCAGCCCCACUCGGUCCUCUCCAGCCCAAGGCGCGGAGGAGCUCCGGAAAAAGCCGGACGAGUCCAGAAGCAGCCUGGGGCCAGACUACCGGCACAGCGACUUGGCCCGACUCUACGGCCUUGCCGAGCCCCCUGCGGUCGCCGAGGAAGAGGAGGACGAAGAGCACGAGGCAGAGCAGCGGGACAGCAGCACGGUGAGCUCUGAGGCUGCCCAGCGACCCCACCUGCACCAGACGGACAGCGCGUCAACCACCGGGGGCCACAGGUACACCUACAGGGGCGGGCCAUUCGGGAGGCCGCCUCCCGGCGCGCUGGCCGGGGUGAAGUAUUCUUCAUCUCUCUCGCUGGGGCCCGAGAUACGUCCUCCAGAGCAGCACAGCCCCAUCUCACAGACCCCUGCGUCUGCUGCGUCUCCCGGGAACGCCACACUGUCUGACCUGACGCCAGCCAGCCUGCCCCUGACAUCCUCGGGUCUGCCUUCCCAGUCGGAGGACAAGCAGGCAAAGGAGGUGGAGGACCAGGAUGUUGAGAAGGGGGACACGGACCCGAUCAAAGGCGCCGAGCCACCGAAGGAGUCGAGCUGCACAGCCAUAGAGGAAGAGAGAGAGUCCAAGGGGUCGCCCUGCCCCCUGUCACCAGCCACGCUGCAGGCGCAGUUGGCACUCAGCUGUGAGGUGUUGCUGACCCAGAGCUCCAGGCCUGUCCCAGCAGAAGGGCGGAGCAGGAAGAGUCAGCCAAGGAGCAAGGCAGUGGAGAGAGAGCGGGAGCGAGCCAAGGACCGGAAGAGAGACCGGGAGAAGAGCCGCGAGCGGAAGGCCGACGGCGGCACGGCGGGAGGUUCCGGCGUGAGAGAAGGAGGGCGGAGCAAAAAACAGAAGGGGAGGCACGAGGGCAAAAUGAAGAACCGUCCACUGACCCCUGGCACUUUCCCCUCCGCCCCUGACGAACCCGGCACGCAGCUCGCCCGGAACAGGGGCAAACAUCCAAGGGCAGCAGAGGGCAUCGAACGGCCGAGCACGGCGACGGAGGGGGAGAGGGGGGCGGAGCCGGGGAGAGCGGAGGAAGAGGAAGCCAGAGCCGCGGACAGUGAUGACAGCCAGCGUGAUAGGGCGGCGCGCGCG
ensembl:lncRNA